CCUUUUAAUAUGUUCCCUAUAUAUUCAAUGCAUUAGUAACUCCCCAUUCUACUCAAUUACCAUUUUCUCCUCAUUCUCUUAAUUUCUCUCCAUUUAGAAUCUUAAUAUUUAACCGGAUAUUACUAUUUUGUAUAGUUCGAAUUGAUUGGAGAAGAAAUUAUAAAAUAUGAUAUAAUGUUGCUCACCUCAUCCCUUAAUUAUAA
rnacentral:lncRNA from 1 species